rnacentral:sRNA from 2 species
CCGCCCGUCAAACCAUGGGAGCUGGUAAUGCCCGAAGUCGGUUUAUUAACAAACUGCCUAAGGCAGGACUGGUGACUGGGGUUAAGUCGUAACAAGGUAUCCCUACGAGAACGUGGGGAUGGAUUACCUCCUUUCUACGGAGUACAAAGCUAAUUUAAUUAGCAUUAACCUUAUUUUUCAGACCUACUAUUAUUAUUUAUCGUCAUGGCUUGGUUAGGUCCCAAGUGUAUAUCUAGUUUUGAGGGAACAAUUCUCUCAAUUGUUCUUUGAAAACUGAAUAGUAAAUAUUUUAAAAUAUUACAACGACAUCAAAAAAUGAAUAAAUUUGGUUUAUUCGUAUUGAUUCAUCGAGUAAUCAUAUUAAUUAUAUGAUUCAUUGAAAUGUCUUAAAAUACACAUCAUAACAAUAGGAAAUCUUAAUUUAAUAAAUUAAGGACAUACUUUUAAAUAAGUAAGAGUUUGUGGUGGAUGCCUUGGGUCUGGAAGUCGAUGAAGGACGUGAUUACCUGCGAUAAGCCUCGUGGAGCUGGAUAUAAGCUACGAAACGGGGAUUUCCGAAUGGGGAAACCUAACUAGGGUAAUGCCUAGUUGCCUUCUUGUGAAUACAUAGCAAGUCGAGCGAGACACCAUGUGAACUGAAACAUCUUAGUAGCAUGAGGAACAGAAAAUAAAUAAUGAUUUCUUUAGUAGCGGCGAGCGAACGAGAAGCAGCCCAAACCACUUUAAAGUGGGGUUGUAGGACAGUCUACAUAGAGUUACAAAAUUUAAUGAUAGCAGAAACAUUUGGGAAAAUGUAGCAUAGAGGGUGAUACUCCUGUACGCGAAAUCAUUAAAUCUCUUGACUGUAUCCUGAGUAGGGCGGGGCACGUGAAACCCUGUCUGAAUCUGCCGGGACCACCCGGUAAGGCUAAAUACUAACCAGACACCGAUAGUGAACUA